UACGUAGGGGGCAAGCGUUGUCCGGAAUUACUGGGCGUAAAGAGUUCGUAGGCGGUUUGUCGCGUCGUUUUGUGAAAACUCACAGCUCAACUGUGAGCCUGCAGGCGAUACGGGCAGACUUGAGUACUGCAGGGGAGACUGGAAUUCCUGGUGUAGCGGUGAAAUGCGCAGAUAUCAGGAGGAACACCGGUGGCGAAGGCGG
rnacentral:rRNA from 1 species